rnacentral:rRNA from 1 species
CAUACCUAUACGUUGCCUCGGCGGAUCAGCCCGCGCCCCGUAAAACGGGACGGCCCGCCCGAGGACCCCUAAACUCUGUUUUUAGUGGAACUUCUGAGUAAAACAAACAAAUAAAUCAAAACUUUCAACAACGGAUCUCUUGGUUCUGGCAUCGAUGAAGAACGCAGCAAAAUGCGAUAAGUAAUGUGAAUUGCAGAAUUCAGUGAAUCAUCGAAUCUUUGAACGCACAUUGCGCCCGCCAGUAUUCUGGCGGGCAUGCCUGUUCGAGCGUCAUUUCAACCCUCAAGCUCAGCUUGGUGUUGGGACUCGCGGUAACCCGCGUUCCCCAAAUCGAUUGGCGGUCACGUCGAGCUUCCAUAGCGUAGUAAUCAUACACCUCGUUACUGGUAAUCGUCGCGGCCACGCCGUUAAACCCCAACUUCUGAAUGUUGACCUCGGAUCAGGUAGGAAUACCCGCUGAACUUAAGCAUAUCAAUAAGCGGAGGAAAA